CCAGUGAUGGAGAAAUGGAUGAGAUCUACAUGAACAGCCUGGACAUGAGUUGGGAUUCUCAGAAUGUACUCAAGAAAACUACAAGCUCGAGUACACAGCCUGACCUCUGAGAAGAAUGUGAAUUGUAUCCUUUCAGAAAAAAAAAAUGGUUAGUACAAAAGAAAUAUUUACAGAAUAAACAUCAAGAGUAGAGGAAGUCUACUCUAGCACAUCUCCACAUUAAUAAUUAAUGGAAGUCAUGUGACGGGGAUUGUGAAAAAGCAAGUGAGAAAGAAAAACGACUGCACAUGUUGAGAUGCUGAUGAUCAGCUUAGAGAGAGAGACGCUUGGAAUUCUGAAUGGUAAAGUCUACAUGGCUCACUGUGUGUAAAUCAUCAAGAUGGGAUGCUAAAGUAGCAUCAAGUCAGAGCUUUGUAGCUGAAUAUGAGAAAUGGGCAAUGUGACCAACUGUGAAGGGAACUAAAAUUCAUACAGAAGAAGGCGGAAGGGGAGUAAAUAGCAGUCAGGAUAUCGGAAAGUCAAAGAGGAUUCAUAAUAUUUACCUGUACCCCACAUACCUUUAUACAAACAUACAUAUGUAAUUAAAUGAAAUUGCCUCAUCUGGCUGUCAAUGCUCUCUCCAAGACCCAGACUCCAUCUGACUAAAACCCACCACCAGGCAUGACAGCCUUCUUUAGAGUUUUGGUCAUGCUUGUCUAAGAGCUUUCCCAAACAUUAUUGGAUGUUUCUAUUGCCCUUGGAUGUCCCCCGUUGAGGUGGAAGGCAAGUCCCUAUUAAAGAAGACACCACACACUCUAGACACAUGACACAGAGACCCCUGAGCUAGUGUUAACCUGAAAAUCUUCUUCUUGAAAGUUAGUUUUCAUGGUAUCAAAUGGAAAAAAAAUGAGCUUUGAAAUGAGGGAAUCAACCAACAGCUCUACCAAGCUAUGAUAUCUAUAAACCACAAUAACAGUCAGGAUGGGACAUUAACUGUACUGGUUCAGUAGUGGAACCCACAGCAUGACAGGAACUAACAUCUUUCUAACUGGUCUAAAAAAGAAAGAAAUCAUGCCUGGUAUUGAAGUCAGAGGAGAAGAGCCUAUAACUACCAAUGCACUAAGCCAAAAAUAGUGCCUAACUACAUUGGAAAUAUUUGUUCUCAUACACACAGAUAAGUGUAAUCCUCACCCAUCAUGAAGGAAAUUAAUCUUUGUAACAGACAGUAACAAAGAUUUAAUCAACAGAUUUCUGCUUAAGAUGGGAGCCAUUGAGCUGUAUAUCAUAUAGAGUGAGAAAAUAGAAUUCCUGUCUGCUGUUACUGAUACUCAUUGUCUUAUCUGAAAAAAAUGAAGGCAAAAUAGAAUUGUAAUAAUUUUUCUGAAUUGCCAUAUUCCUAUCAAUGCAUCCUGAAUAUUUUUUCUCUUUCUUUAUUUUUGAGAUUGUAAUUACAGUAUUUAUCCCUUUGCCUUCCUCCUUUCAAGACUUCAAGUACCCCUCCCUGUUAUUUUUAAAUCAUUGGCUUCUCUUUUCAUUAGUGGAUGCUGCAUGCAUGUAUGUAUGUUUAUGCAUAUAUAUUGUAUUCUUUAGUAUAACCUGCUCCAUCUUUAUACUGUUACUUGUAUGUUUUCAGGGGUGAUUAUUUGGUAUUGCAUAAACAAUUGGUUUUCUCAUCCCUGGGGAAGACAAUUUAUCCAGUUCUCAGUGUUCAUUAGUUCUCUGUAGUUCUUUGUGUAGAGAUGAGGUCAUCAUGUGGGCUUUCCCCUGUCCACUUUGGCCUGUAAUCGGUGUAUUCCUUGUUCAGCUCACACUGAGAUACUUCAUUCAUUUUGUUUUCAGGUAUGAUAUUAGAACUCUAACAUACAUUUUUAAGUUACUGGUUAAUUCACAUAUAGAUAAUCAUUACUACAGAUGAAAAUUAUAUAUCAUUAGACAGGUACAUUUAUACUUAUUUACUUAGAUGCUCAUUUAAAAAAUUAAGUUUUCCAGCUUGAUUUUAUGAUCUUUUUCUUUUUAAUAUUGUUUCAAAGACAAUGAUAUAUGAUAUAUCCUAUAUGUUUCAAAAUCAAGGUCAUAUAUAUAGCUGUCAUUUUCAUAGCUUCCCUAGAAGGCUAACAUCCUUUACUAACUUCCAAGAUCUACAAAAUCUGAUUUUUCAUUAAAAAUCAAACUGCAGUUUGUUUGUGUCUCUCUUUCCCCAUUAGUACAUUCUUUUUCCAAGAUGGUUUCAUAUUCUGAUAACACUACAUUGAAUUUUACCAAUUAUUCUUUGUACAUGUAAUGUUCAUGUCUGUGUAACUGUAAUCUAGACAAUAUAAAUCAACCUUAAGUUAAUGUGUAUAUUAAUAUGCCUGUUUUUAUUUUUCUCUUUUACUCAGGAAAAUUACCAUUUCCGCAGGGUUUGCUUUUGGUACAGUUUUAUUGUAUCACAUCCUUUCACCUUACCCAUUUUAUUCCUGAUGGCUCUCAGUCAGUUUGAAAAUAAUUUAUGGUGAGUCCACAUACACUGCAGAGACUAUAUUUUUCCUACUUUAACUAUAGACUCCUGGAUAUGCAUAUGGCUGUUUUUAAUGAAAAUGUCAACGUAAAAGCUAGUCAUAGUGAUCACUAGACCUCCACUGGAUCUUCAGAGUCUGAGUAUGACAUAUAUAUUCCAUCUUCCAUAUCUCAUUGUCUGUAGUAAUAAUUCUGUUGUGUUGGGUUUUUAGUUUCUGUACCAGGAUAAAAGAAGUCCCACAUAGUACACUAAUGUUUUGUUCCAUUAAAUCUUGUAUCGUUGUACCAGAAAAUGUGUCGAAGACUAACUACCUAGUUAAAGCUUGUGUUUACAUAAUAAGAAUGGCUUAAACAAUUAAAAGUUGAAGGCAGAUUUAUGAACCUAGUAUAUAUGUAGCUUUCAUGACGUUUUUAUAAGUAAAAAAGAAAAAGAAAUUGGAUAUUUCCCUGGUAUGUAUUGGAAAUGAGACUAAGCAACCCUAGCAUUACUAGCAGAAAUCUGUUUCAUAAUAUUCAUGAUGGAUUUGUAACUCAUUUGCUUCUUUGAAGUUUUUUGAGAAAAGCACAAGGAUGAGGAUUAUAUUGAUUUUCUUUCUGUUAAAAUCAACAUGGAUUAGAUAUAGAAAUAUUCUAAAGAGAUUAAUCAAGUCAUGGUUUGGGGAUUUUUUUACUUGAUAGACCCCUGAGUAUUACUUAAUGUAUUUUAUUCUAGAUUAAGAAUUAAGUAAAUCUGCUGCAUAUACUUUAAUGAGAUGUCUUUUAUUAUAGACCAAAUUGCUGAACUCAGAAAUUGCAUUAAUGGGGCCUGAAGUCUACGCCAGAGUUAUUGAAUUCAGUAUAUUAAUACAUAUUCUUAUUUACAUAUUCAUUCUUUUGGUAUAUUUUUACUAGGUAUUUUAUUUCUCCUGUCUCUUGUUACUUUUGUUUCUUAUAUGUCUAUAUGCAUUUUUUGUAUUUAUUUCAUAGAACAAACACACAAAUUUAAAAGCAUGCUUUUGCCAUUGCCAUUGCAUGGGCAAAAAUUUAAGUGCUGAGUAACUUGGACUUAUUUUAAAUUUCCUCUUUAUUUUUGUCAUUAUUUGUAUAUUUAUGUUGGAAAUAAAGUGAAAUGCUGACUAA